GGACGAACGCUGGCGGCGUGCUUAACACAUGCAAGUCGAGCGGAAAGGCCACUUCGGUGGUACUCGAGCGGCGAACGGGUGAGUAACACGUGAGUAAUCUGCCCCUGGCUUUGGGAUAGCCACCGGAAACGGUGAUUAAUACCGGAUAUGACAUGGACUCGCAUGGGUUUGUGUGGAAAGUUUUUCGGCCAGGGAUGUGCUCGCGGCCUAUCAGCUUGAUGGUGAGGUAAUGGCUCACCAUGGCUUCGACGGGUAGCCGGCCUGAGAGGGUGACCGGUCACACUGGGACUGAG
rnacentral:rRNA from 1 species